rnacentral:rRNA from 1 species
GAUGAACGCUAGCGGCAGGCCUAAUACAUGCAAGUCGAACGGUGUAGCAAUACACAGUGGCGCACGGGUGCGUAACACGUAUGCCACCUACCUUACAUUGGGGGAUAGCCUUUCGAAAGGGAGAUUAAUACCGCAUAGGACAGUAACUAGGCAACUAGUAGCUGUUAAAGAUUUAUCGAUGUACGCUGGGCAUGCGUCCAACUAGUUAGUUGGCGAGGUAAUGGCUCACCAAGACGAUGAUUGGUAGGGGAACGGAGAGGUCAAUCCCCCACACUGGCACUGAGAUACGGGCCAGACUCCUACGGGAGGCAGCAGUAGGGAAUAUGGGGCAAGGGGCGCAAGCCUGACCCAGCCAUGCCGCGUGCAGGAAGAAGGCGUUAUGCGUUGUAAACUGCUUUUAUACAGGAAGAAACGACCCUUGCGAGGGGCAUUGACGGUACUGUAUGAAUAAGCACCGGCUAACUCCGUGCCAGCCGCCGCGGUAAAAC